UGAGUAACACGUGGGAAACCUGCCCAGAAGCGGGGGAUAACACCUGGAAACAGAUGCUAAUACCGCAUAACAACUUGGACCGCAUGGUCCGAGCUUGAAAGAUGGCUUCGGCUAUCACUUUUGGAUGGUCCCGCGGCGUAUUAGCUAGAUGGUGGGGUAACGGCUCACCAUGGCAAUGAUACGUAGCCGACCUGAGAGGGUAAUCGGCCACAUUGGGACUGAGACACGGCCCAAACUCCUACGGGAGGCAGCAGUAGGGAAUCUUCCACAAUGGACGAAAGUCUGAUGGAGCAACGCCGCGUGAGUGAAGAAGGGUUUCGGCUCGUAAAACUCUGUUGUUAAAGAAGAACAUAUCUGAGAGUAACUGUUCAGGUAUUGACGGUAUUUAACCAGAAAGCCACGGCUAACUACGUGCCAGCAGCCGCGGUAAUACGUAGGUGGCAAGCGUUGUCCGGAUUUAUUGGGCGUAAAGCGAGCGCAGGCGGUUUUUUAAGUCUGAUGUGAAAGCCUUCGGCUCAACCGAAGAAGUGCAUCGGAAACUGGGAAACUUGAGUGCAGAAGAGGACAGUGGAACUCCAUGUGUAGCGGUGAAAUGCGUAGAUAUAUGGAAGAACACCAGUGGCGAAGGCGGCUGUCUGGUCUGUAACUGACGCUGAGGCUCGAAAGUAUGGGUAGCAAACAGGAUUAGAUACCCUGGUAGUCCAUACCGUAAACGAUGAAUGCUAAGUGUUGGAGGGUUUCCGCCCUUCAGUGCUGCAGCUAACGCAUUAAGCAUUCCGCCUGGGGAGUACGGCCGCAAGGCUGAAACUCAAAGGAAUUGACGGGGGGCCCGCACAAGCGGUGGAGCAUGUGGUUUAAUUCGAAGCUACGCGAAGAACCUUACCAGGUCUUGACAUACUAUGCAAAUCUAAGAGAUUAGACGUUCCCUUCGGGGACAUGGAUACAGGUGGUGCAUGGUUGUCGUCAGCUCGUGUCGUGAGAUGUUGGGUUAAGUCCCGCAACGAGCGCAACCCUUAUUAUCAGUUGCCAGCAUUAAGUUGGGCACUCUGGUGAGACUGCCGGUGACAAACCGGAGGAAGGUGGGGAUGACGUCAAAUCAUCAUGCCCCUUAUGACCUGGGCUACACACGUGCUACAAUGGAUGGUACAACGAGUUGCGAACUCGCGAGAGUAAGCUAAUCUCUUAAAGCCAUUCUCAGUUCGGAUUGUAGGCUGCAACUCGCCUACAUGAAGUCGGAAUCGCUAGUAAUCGCGGAUCAGCAUGCCGC
rnacentral:rRNA from 2 species